AUGGAUAAGGAUUACAUAUGAGAAAUCUAGUAGAUUUAAACCAGUCUUUAGGUAAUUUUCACCAAAAAUUUGGCAUCAAAAAAUGAUUAUUUUUUUCCUUCCAAAAUAUGCAAAGAAAAGAAGCAGUUUGGACCAUGUAGGGAUUAGGAGAGAUGAUUGGGCAGAAUGUCCAGCAAGAUUACAAAAGUAGUCAAUUUUAUUUUUAAGUUGUUUUCCUACAAUUUAAUUGUUUGGUUUAAAUGCCUAUCUCUUUGAUGCUUUGGAAAUCUGUUUCUAAAUGACAUCAGAGUCCUUGGUGUGCAGUUGCCCAUUAUCUCAUGUGUUCUUUGCCAGCAGAACCAAUGUUAUUUUUCCUUUUUGAGGGUAAAGAAAUCCUGGUCAGGGCUUCUUCCACACUGAGAUAUUUCAAACAGGACUCACUGAAUAAAAUAUGGACCUUAUUUGAAGCAAACGCUUUCAAUAUUGUUUAAUUACUCCAUUGUAUCAUCUAAAAGAGUCCUGUGAUUCUGACAAAAUUUGAUUCUUGAAAGAAGGUUAUCAAGGAACACCUAAAGCUUUUAUCUACCAAUCUGAAGCAAAAUUGUCACUAAGAACUAGGUUAUAAAUUCUUUGAGUGCAAAGACCUUUUCAUUUUCUCUCUCAUAUGUCUUCAUCAUUCUAAACCACUGAUGGACAUAAGAUAUAUGUUCAGUGCCCUUGCUGGUUGAAUAAUUAACAGCAGUUUCCAAAUCGGCUUAUCUUUUCCAAUUUUAAAUGAAUUUUAUUGAAAUUUGCUAUCUGGGCAAUGUUAUUUUAUUACUUCAUUGAGGAAGAGCUAUAAUUCACAUUUCUACUGGUUUUCCAAGUUGUUUAGCAAAUGGAACUUGAUGUUUAAUCAUCACAAAGUUUAGAAAAGUCAUGCCUAUUAUUUUAUUUAUUCUGCCUCUUCUGGUGUUCCAGAAUUUCAUGAAUCCCAAGUUUGCUUGUUUUUAGAAGCCUUCAUUUUAUUUGGAAAGGGUGAUCCUUCCUACUAACAAUUUAUUCUACUCUCAAUAUGUACCAAGAUGUUUGAAGAUAUCCUACUCCAGAAGACAAAAAGGAGGCCACAUCAAGACCGUAGGCAGGGCAAUUAUGCAAUAUAAGCAACCCUACACCCCCCAGAUGGGCAGCCCACAGACUGGAAAGUAGCUGUAUCACAGAGACUCACCUACCGGAGUGAGAGUUCUGAGCCCCAUAUCAGGUCCCCAUGCCUGGGGAUCUGGUAUUGGGAGAAAGAGCGCCCAGAGGAUCUGGCAUUGAAGGCCAGUGGGGCUUGUGUGUGGGAGCUCCAUAGGACUGGGGGAAACAGAGACCCCAUUCUUAAAAGGCACAUGCAGGCUUUCAUGUGCACUGGGUCCCAGGGCAAAGCAGAGAUCCAUAGGAAUCUGGGUUGGACCUGACUGAAGUUCUUGGGGGAUCUUCUGGGAAAAUAGGAGGUGACUGUGGCUUAUUGUGAGGAAAAGACAUUGGAGGCAAAGUUCUUGGGAAUAUUAAUCAGCAUGUAUUCCUCUAGAGGUGGCCAUUUUGGGAAUAUCUGGCUCCACCUAUCAAUGCUGAGAAGCCCCAUGCCAAACAAUAAUCCAAGUGGGAUCACAGCCCCACCCAUCAGUAAACAGGCUGCCUAAAGACCCCCAGGCAUACAGCCCCAUCUAAUCUCACCCAGAGACAAAGCCCCACCCACCAGAGGGAUCAGCCCCACCUACCAGUGGGCAGGCAAAGUCCCUCCCAUCAGGAAGCCUACAGAAAGCCGCUGUACCAACUUCAGCCACAAGGGGAGCAGACAUCAGAAGUAAGAGAGGCUACAACUCUGUGGUCUGCAAAAACGAGACCACACCAAAAACCUAUAAAAGUGAAAAGUCAGAGAACUAUAACUCAGAUAAG
rnacentral:lncRNA from 1 species